GGAUAGCUCAGUUGGCUAGAGCCUGGCACUCAUAAUGCCAAGGUUGUAGGUACAAUCCCUGUAUGGGACA